CAGGAGAGUGAGUAGUGGCGGCUGCUAUGGAAGGUGAUCUAUGGCUCAGAGCACGUCAGAGGGGCAGCCACCUGGGCUCUGGGCACCACCCACUGCCAGCCUCCCUGAGCUAGUGGCCAGGGAAGUCUGGGGAGCUGCUUUGGUUUUCAGCCGCUUUCUUCACUAGAUUCCAGGCUAUGGUGGUUGUUCCCCCUGUGGUGACUCAGCAAUCUAGGCUUCUUCCAUCUUGCAAUGCCUCCAUCUCGAUUCAUGGCCUCCAUGAGCACUGUGGCAGAGGAACAGAGGUUAAGAAGAAUCCACUCCCACUCUUAACUGCCCUCAAACAAAUGGGACAACAAAUCUCUUUUGUUUAUAGCUCACCAGCCAAAACUAGUCACCUGAGUUCCAACUUAACUGCAACAGAGCCUGAGAAGUCUGCAUGCACACAUCAGAUAAGACAGUGGAUAUGGUGAGAUGUACUGAUCUGUACUAGAAGGAGGUCAUCCUAGUUCUGCUAGUGAUUCUAGGCUCAAAUGGAAAUCCUAUUAUAUGUGAAAAAUUGCUGGGCAGGGUUUCAGCAAAUAUGUCAACAGAGCAAAGAAAACAUGAAAAGACUAUAAGACUAGUUCUUAUGAAUAAAGCUGGGUAGGAAAUUAAUGAUAGCUCUCCCAGGACUAAGACACCUAGCCCAUUAGUUAAAUCUGUCUGCAGAAGAAGAUCAAGGAAGAGGUUUAGAAAGAACAUAUCACAAUUUCCCCUGACAAAAAGAUUCUCAUAUGUUUUCAUGCAUGCAAAUCAGUAGGCCUGACACACUUUCUUGAAAAUCCUACAAGAUUUGGUGAACUAUU